rnacentral:rRNA from 1 species
CAAUAGCGUGUAUUAAAGUUGUUGCAGUUAAAAAGCUCGUAGUUGGAUUUCUGGUUGAAGCGACCGGUCGGGCGUUGAUUCGUCUGCACUGGAGUCGGUUUUGGCCAUCCUCUAGGAAAGUGCGUCUGGUAUUAAGUUAUCGGGCGUAUGAUCCUGGUCUUUUACUGUGAAAAAAUUAGAGUGUUUAAAGCAGGCCUUCGCCUUGAAUACAUUAGCAUGGAAUAAUAAGAUAGGACUUUGGUCUAUUUUGUUGGUUUGCAGACCGAAGUAAUGAUUAAUAGGGAUAGUUGGGGGUAUUUAUAUUCCGAUGUCAGAGGUGAAAUUCUUAGAUUUUCGGAAGAUAAACUUAUGCGAAAGCAUUUACCAAGGAUGUUUUCAUUAA